UCGAAUUUCCGCGGUCGGAAGUUUAUUUGACGGCUUUUGUUUUGUUUAAAACACAUAAUAAUUUGUAUUAUAUUUCUGAACACCCGGGUAGGAGCCCAAGACCAGUGGCGUGGUGUGAUGUGAUCAGUGGUGCAAUCAAUCACCAAAAAAUAUAUACCUACCAGUACCUCCAUCUACCUCUAUCACCUUCAGAAAGCCGCUAUAACAUAAUCAAAAAUGAUUCAAGUAAUUAACCG